AAUAGAUACCCAGGUAGUCCACCCGUAAACGUUGGGAACUAGUUGUGGGUCCUUUCCACGGAUUCCGUGACGCAGCUAACGCAUUAAGUUCCCCGCCUGGGGAGUACGGCCGCAAGGCUAAAACUCAAAGGAAUUGACGGGGACCCGCACAAGCGGCGGAGCAUGCGGAUUAAUUCGAUGCAACGCGAAGAACCUUACCAAGGCUUGACAUACACCGGAAACGGCCAGAGAUGGUCGCCCCGCAAGGUCGGUGUACAGGUGGUGCAUGGUUGUCGUCAGCUCGUGUCGUGAGAUGUUGGGUUAAGUCCCGCAACGAGCGCAACCCUCGUUCUAUGUUGCCAGCACGUAAUGGUGGGAACUCAUGGGAUACUGCCGGGGUCAACUCGGAGGAAGGUGGGGAUGACGUCAAAUCAUCAUGCCCCUUAUGUCUUGGGCUUCACGCAUGCUACAAUGGCCGGUACAAAGGGCUGCAAUACCGUGAGGUGGAGCGAAUCCCAAAAAGCCGGUCCCAGUUCGGAUUGAGGUCUGCAACUCGACCUCA
rnacentral:rRNA from 1 species